GACGAACCGUGCGAACGUUGUUCGGAUUCACUGGGCUUAAAGGGCGCGUAGGCGGGCCAGCAUGUCCGGGGUGAAAUCUUUCGGCUUAACCGGAAAAGGGCUUCGGAAACGGCUGGUCUUGAGGGAGGUAGGGGCAGGUGGAACUUCCGGUGGAGCGGUGAAAUGCGUUGAGAUCGGAAGGAACGCCGGUGGCGAAAGCGACCUGCUGGACCUCUUCUGACGCUGAGGCGCGAAAGCCAGGGGAGCAAACGGGG
rnacentral:rRNA from 1 species